AUGAACGCUGGCGGCGUGCCUAAUACCUGCAAGUCGCGCGAACGGACGAGAAGCUUGCUUCUCUGAUGUUAGCGGCGGACGGGUGAGUAACACGUGGAUAACCUACCUAUAAGACUGGGAUAACUUCGGGAAACCGGAGCUAAUACCGGAUAAUAUUUUGAACCGCAUGGUUCAAAAGUGAAAGACGGUCUUGCUGUCACUUAUAGAUGGAUCCGCGCUGCAUUAGCUAGUUGGUAAGGUAACGGCUUACCAAGGCGACGAUGCAUAGCCGACCUGAGAGGGUGAUCGGCCACACUGGAACUGAGACACGGUCCAGACUCCUACGGGAGGCAGCAGUAGGGAAUCUUCCGCAAUGGGCGAAAGCCUGACGGAGCAACGCCGCGUGAGUGAUGAAGGUCUUCGGAUCGUAAAACUCUGUUAUUAGGGAAGAACAUAUGUGUAAGUAACUGUGCACAUCUUGACGGUACCUAAUCAGAAAGCCACGGCUAACUACGUG
rnacentral:rRNA from 1 species